GACGAACGCUGGCGGCGUGCUUAACACAUGCAAGUGGAGCGACGAACCAGGCUUCGGCCUGGGGCAAAGCCGCGAACGGGUGAGUAACACGUGGGUAACCUGCCCCGAUGACCGGGACAACCCGAGGAAACUCGAGCUAAUACCGGAUGUGCUCGUGGCUCUCAAGAGCCACGCGUAAAGGAAGCUUCGGCCUCCGCAUUGGGAUGGGCCCGCGGCCCAUUAGCUUGUUGGUGAGGUAACGGCUCACCAAGGCAACGAUGGGUAGCUGGUCUGAGGGGACGAUCAGCCACACUGGGACUGAGACACGGCCCAGAAUCCUACGGGAGGCAGCAGUGGGGAAUCUUGCGCAAUGCGCGAAAGCGUGACGCAGCAACGCCGCGUGGGGGAAGAAGGCCUUCGGGUUGUAAACUCCUUUCAGGAGGGACGAAGGGCGGGCCACGAAUAGUGAGCUCGUCUGACGGUACCUCCAGAAGAAGCCCCGGCUAACUACGUGCCAGCCGCCGCGGUAAAAC
rnacentral:rRNA from 1 species